rnacentral:rRNA from 1 species
UACGUAGGUGGCAAGCGUUGUCCGGAUUUAUUGGGCUUAAAGGGUGCGUAGGCGGCCCUGUAAGUCAGUGCUGAAAUAUCCCGGCUUAACCGGGAGGGUGGCAUUGAUACUGCAGGGCUUGAGUAAAGUUGAGGUAGGCGGAAUUGACGGUGUAGCGGUGAAAUGUGUAGAGAUCGGGAGGAACACCGGUGGCGAAGGCGGGUCUCUGGGCAUCUCCUGACGCUGAGGCGCGAAAGCGUGGGGAGCAAACGGG